AGAGUUUGAUCCUGGCUCAGGACGAACGCUGGCGGCGUGCUUAACACAUGCAAGUCGAACGAGAUCCUUCGGGGUCUAGUGGCGAACGGGUGAGUAACACGUGAGCAACCUGCCCUUGGCUCUGGGAUAGCCUCCGGAAACGGGGAUUAAUACCGGACAGGACCCUUCCUCGCAUGAGGGGGGGUGGAAAGUUUUUCGGC
rnacentral:rRNA from 1 species